rnacentral:misc_RNA from 1 species
AACCCUCUGACUACCGACCCUGAUAAAAAGUAUGGUUCACAAUUGGAAACAUAUUGCAAAUACAUUUCUGCUAACAUACAACACAAUUGUAAUACUUUCUGAACUGAUUCUUCUUGUAAAAGCCAUUUGGGAUCUGAUACGGCAAUACGAUGUGCUUGGUGUAAAUAGUGUAGUGCUUUGUCAUUAUCAAUAUCAGUUUUUUUAAGAAAA